rnacentral:lncRNA from 13 species
AUGAAUAGAUGUUUAAACAUUCUUUACCUCAUCCUAAUUUUCUUCCAGAUGCUUGGCUUUUUCUUGUUCUUGGAGAUUGGCUCUGAUGUUUCAACCUCUUCUGGAGCGUCUAGCUGCUGGCAGUCUGGCCCCCCCAUCUCCUCUUUUUUCUUUACCUCUAAAAUCUUCUCUCUCUCUCUGAUUAAAGCUAAAUGGCCUUCAAUGGCUCUCUUUCUCUGCUCCUCUCUCUCUUCCUCUCUCUGCCUCUCCUCCUCUCUUAGUCUCAACAUUUCUUUCUGUCUAGCAAUUUCAAUCUCUCGUUUUUUAUCCUGCUCCUCUUGUUGUCUUGCCCUCUCCUGUUUUCUUUCCAUCUCCAGCCGUCUUUCCUCCUUCUCCCUCCUGAUUUGUUGUCCUCUUUCUAUGUGUUCUCGCUCCCCCUUCAACACUUCUAACCUCCUCUCUUUACGCCUAUUGAAGACUUCCCGUGCUUUUGCUUUAACAUUAACUACUACAUGUUUCUUCAUGCUUACUUCCUUUCCUCUCUCUUCUCUUUCCCUGUACUCUUCCUCUGCUUCCUUAAUCACUUCCUGCUUUUCUUCCAUCUCUCUCUCCUGUUCUAUCUCCAGUUCAUUCUGUCCCUCAAUUUCCCCCCCAAAAAAUUUCUGCCCCUCCUUUCUUCUUCCUGCUUCCUCCCUUUCUCUCAUAAUCAUCUUUUCUUUCUCCAUCUCUUUCUGUUGCUGAUCUUUUAAUUCCAUCUCUCUCUGAUUGUCAUUGUCUUUCUCCCUUUCUUUCUCCUUCUCCUUUUGUUUCUGUCUCUCCUCUUGUUGUUGUCGUCUGUGUAUCUCUUCUAUCUCUCUCUGUCUCUUGUUCUCCCUCUCUCUUCCCUCCUUCUCCAUGUCAAUUUGCUUCUGUUUCCAUAUAUUUUCUUCUUCUUGAUCUCUCUCAAACAUUAUCUUUCUCUCCUCUUGUUGUUGUCGUCUUUCUUUCUCUCCCAUCUCUCUCUGUCUCUCUUUCUCUUCGAUCGCUCUCUGUCUCUCUUCUUCUCUUUCUUCCUCUUCCAUCUCUAUUUGCUUCUGUUUACAUCUUUCUUCUUCAUACUCUCUUUCAAUCUCUCUCUGUCUCUCUUUCUCCCUCUCUCGUUCUUCCUCUUCCAUCUCUUUUUGCUUCUGUUCAAAUAGUUCUUCUUCAUUCUCUCUUUCAAUCUCUCUCUGUCUCUCUUCUCUUUCUUUCUCUUCCAUCUCUAUUUUCUUCUGUUUACAUCUUUCUUCUUCAUGCUCUCUUUCAAUCUCUUUCUGUCUCUCUUCUUCUCUUUCGAUAUGUUUUUGUCUCUUUUCCAUUAUCUUUCUUUUGAUCUCUCUCUGUCUCUCUUUCUCCCUCUCUCGUUCUUCCUCUUCCAUCUCUAUUUGCUUCUGUUUACAUCUUUCUUCUUCAAUCUCUCUUUCAAUCUCUCUCUGUCUCUCUUCUUCUCUUUCCAUAAUUUUCUGUCUCUUCUCCAUUCUCUUCCUUUUGAUCUGUCUCUGUCUCUCUUUCUCCCUCUCUCUUUCUUCAUCUUCCAUCUCUAUGUGCUUCUGUUUGCGUCUCUCCUCUUCUUCUUCUCUCUCUAGCUCCUUCUUCUCAUCUUCUUCUUGUCUCUGUUUUGGUAUUUUCUCCAUUCUCUUUCUUUCUACCUCUUUCUGUUUGUUGUGCUCACCCUCCAUCUUCUCCUCCAUGUCCAUUUGGUUCUGUUUCCAUUUAUAUUUGUCUGUUUCCAUAUUUUCUAAUUCUAUCUGCUGUUCCUUGAUUUUCUUGAAGACUUCCUCCAAUUCAGACGUCUUUUUGUCAUUGAUGAGGGCUGUCUCCAUCUCCAUCUCUCUCUCCACUCUAUUUUUCAACUCCUCUUCACUUCGUCUCCAAUCAUUUUCUCUCUCUCUGUCUCUAUCAAAUGUUCUCUCUGGUUCAGUCUCGUCUUUCAAUCUAAUCUCUUCUUUCAUUCUCACAACCUCUCUGUCUAACACUAGUACAUUUUGGUUAACCUGUUUCACUCUCUCAUUCUGUCUUCUAAACGCUUCUUUCGCUCUUUCAAAUUUGAUUUUGUAUUGAAUCUCUUUUGUUGUCAUAUCUUCUUUCAGUCUCUCAACCUCUCUCUCUAACUCUUUUACCUUUUCGUNNNNNNNNNNUGGUUAGGGGGAGGACAGGUUUGAGAAGGGAAAGACUAAAUGGACUUUUCUGACCAACAUCCCAUUGACAGCCCAUCUGGCCAAAACUUAAAACGGACUCUAACCUUAACCCUAACAUGAACCCUAACAUGAACCCUGACAUGAACCCUAACAUUAACCCUAACAUUAACCAAACCCUUAAGCCUUAAAGGUAGUCUCAUCAGUCAUCAGACUGUAGUUUCUCCCUGUGUGUCCAGUAAACCUCCUCUCAUCAUGGGUGUGAUUCAGACUGUAGUUUCUCCCUGUGUGUCCAGUAAACCUCCUCUCAUCAUGGGUGUGAUUCAGCCUGUUGUUUCUCCCUGUGUGUCCAGUAAACCUCCUCUCAUCAUGGGUGUGAUUCAGACUGUAGUUUCUCCCUGUGUGUCCAGUAAACCUCCUCUCAUCAUGGGUGGGAUUCAGACUGUAGUUUCUCCCUGUGUGUCCAGUAAACCUCCUCUCAUCAUGGGUGGGAUUCAGACUGUAGUUUCUCCCUGUAUGUCCAGUAAACCUCCUCUCAUCAUGGGUGUGAUUCAACCUGAAGCUGGAGAGGCCAGUAGCAACCAGCCCGACCACUUUAUUACUAGUUGGGGAUGGAUAGUAUCUCUAGAGUUACAGUAGGGCAUUUCCAUGUGAAAGGAUUGUCUAUUAGGUAUUUGUUGUGAAAUGGUUAGAUAUUACUUGUUAGAUAA